UUUCCUGAUGCUGUUCCAAGGUUUUAUGGAAAAUAUUCCAAGAUUUUCUGAAGAUAUUCCUUAAAUUCCUGUAGGUAUCCCAAGGUUUUCCUGUGCUUUUCCCAAGGUUUUAUGGAAAAUAUUCCAAGAUUUUCUGAAGAUAUUCCAUAAAUUCCUGUUGAUAUUCCAAGAUUUUCCUGUGUUAUUCCAUAAAUCCCUCUUGAUAUCCCAAAGUUUUCCUGUGCUUUUUCCACGAUUUUAUGGAAAAUAUUCCAAGAUUUUGUGAGGAUAUUCCAUAAAUUCCUGUCCAUAUCCCAAGAUUUUCUGAAGAUAUUCCGUAAAUUCCUGUCGAUAUCCCAAGAUUUUGUGAGGACAUUCCAUAAAUUCCUGUCCAUAUCCCAAGGUUUCCUGUGAUAUUCCAUAAAUUCCUGUCGAUAUCCCAAGGUUUCCUGUGAUAUUCCAUAAAUUCCUGUCAUUAUCCCGAGGGUUUCCUGUGUUAUUCCAUAAAUUCCUGUCCAUAUCCCGAGGUUUCCUGAUGCUGUUCCCAGAUUUUAUGGAAAAUAUUCCCAGGUUUCCUGAAGAUAUUCCAUAAAUUCCUGUC